rnacentral:misc_RNA from 1 species
ACCCUAUGUUUUUAUCAAACCACUCAUAAUUCUUAUCCUGCCCAAAAGACUUCACUAAGUCUCUCCACUAUAAGGAGUCUCUCCCCACCCGUUUCCAAUUAUAGGAACCAUAUUUUGACACCAAGACAUUUUUCCACAACACCCCCCGGCACCCGCUAGGGGUCAACAAGCCUCUAUCUGUAUUUCCUUAAUAGGACUGCAUUGAAUAAAAAUAUGUUUUUAAUGCCUAAUCUUUCCUCCAUUUUAGGUUGACACACCUAACUUUAUCUCACC